UUAGUACUCCCUCCGUCCCAAAAUUCUUGGCUGAAAUUUAUCUAGAUAUGAAUGUAUCUAAUACUAAAACGUGACUUGAUACAUCCGUAUUUAGACAAAUGUAAGACAAGAAUUUUGGGACGGAGGGAGUAUUUA
rfam:Triticum aestivum genome assembly, contig: Triticum_aestivum_CS42_TGACv1_scaffold_050046_1BS